rnacentral:rRNA from 1 species
AUUGAACGCUGGCGGCAGGCCUAACACAUGCAAGUCGAACGGUAACAGGAAGCAGCUUGCUGCUUCGCUGACGAGUGGCGGACGGGUGAGUAAUGUCUGGGAAACUGCCUGAUGGAGGGGGAUAACUACUGGAAACGGUGGCUAAUACCGCAUAACGUCGCAAGACCAAAGAGGGGGACCUUAGGGCCUCUUGCCAUCGGAUGUGCCCAGAUGGGAUUAGCUAGUAGGUGGGGUAACGGCUCACCUAGGCGACGAUCCCUAGCUGGUCUGAGAGGAUGACGAGCCACACUGGAACUGAGACACGGUCCAGACUCCUACGGGAGGCAGCAGUGGGGAAUAUUGCACAAUGGGCGCAAGCCUGAUGCAGCCAUGCCGCGUGUAUGAAGAAGGCCUUCGGGUUGUAAAGUACUUUCAGCGGGGAGGAAGGGAGUAAAGUUAAUACCUUUGCUCAUUGACGUUACCCGCAGAAGAAGCACCGGCUAACUCCGUG